rnacentral:rRNA from 1 species
AUGUUACCUUGCAAAGCGUUCAUGCUGAGGUUGAGGUCGGCGAGUUGGGUCAGGAGGCCGAGCUCGGACGGUAUGCCGCCGUGGAAGCUGUUGUUUGAUAGGUGGAGCCUCGCCAGCGAAGUGAGGUUGGCAAUGCAAGGCGACAUGGAGCCUGAUAUGCCUUGUGAUUCAAGGUCCAGUGCAAUGACACGCAAUGGCGGCAUUGCGCUGCACAUGACCCCACGCCAGUCGCAGAAUUCCCGGGAAGCGUCACUCCAUGAAGCCAAAACUCCGGGUGGUCCGGAGAGCUGGGACUUGAAGCAGAGCAGGGCCUGUCUAUCAUUUUGGGAUUCAUCGCAGAUGGCUAGUGGCAGGCUGCAAAAGAAGCUGAAGAGGCAAAGGAACCUAGCAAGGCCUGUGAACAAAGAUGCCAUUGCUGUGACUUGGAGCUACACUGCGUGA